UUAGCAUGGAAUAAUGGAAUAGGACGUGUGGUUCUAUUUUGUUGGUUUCUAGGACCGCCGUAAUGAUUAAUAGGGACAGUCGGGGGCAUCAGUAUUCAAUUGUCAGAGGUGAAAUUCUUGGAUUUAUUGAAGACUAACUACUGCGAAAGCAUUUGCCAAGGAUGUUUUCAUUAAUCAGGAACGAAAGUUAGGGGAUCGAAGACGAUCAGAUACCGUCGUAGUCUUAACCAUAAACUAUGCCGACUAGGGAUCGGACGGUGUUAUUUUUUGACCCGUUCGGCACCUUACGAGAAAUCAAAGUGCUUGGGCUCCAGGGGGAGUAUGGUCGCAAGGCUGAAACUUAAAGAAAUUGACGGAAGGGCACCACCAGGGGUGGAGCCUGCGGCUUAAUUUGACUCAACACGGGGAAACUCACCAGGUCCAGA
rnacentral:rRNA from 1 species